rnacentral:rRNA from 1 species
GUUUGAUCCUGGCUCAGGACGCUGGCGGCGUGCCUAAUACAUAAGUCGAGCGGACAGAUGGGAGCUUGCUCCCUGAUGUUAGCGGCGGACGGGUGAAUAACACGUGGGUAACCUGCCUGUAAGAGGAUAACUCCGGAAACCGGGGCUAAUACCGGAUGGUGUUUGAACCGCAUGGUUCAAACAUAAAAAGUGGCUUCGGCUACCACUUGCAGAUGGACCCGCGGCGCAUUAGCUAGUUGGUGAGGUAAUGGCUCACCAAGGCAACGAUGCGUAGCCGACCUGAGAGGGUGAUCGGCCACACUGGGACUGAGACACGGCCCAGACUCCUACGGAGGCAGCAGUAGGGAAUCUUCCGCAAUGGACGAAAGUCUGACGGAGCAACGCCGCGUGAGUGAUGAAGGUUUUCGGAUCGUAAAGCUCUGNUGUUAGGAAAGAACAAGUGCCGUUCGAAUAGGGCGGUACCUUGACGGUACCUAACCAGAAAGCCACGGCUAACUACGUGCCAGCAGCCGCGGUAAUACGUAGGUGGCAAGCGUUGUCCGGAAUUAUUGGGCGUAAAGGCUCGCAGGCGGUUUCUUAGAAUCUGAUGAAAGCCCCCGGCUCAACCNGGGAGGUCAUUGAAACUGGGGAACUUGAGUGCAGAAGAGGAGUGGAAUUCCACGUGUAGCGGUGAAAUGCGUAGAGAUGUGGAGGAACACCAGUGGCGAAGGCGACUCUCUGGUCUGUAACUGACGCUGAGGAGCGAAAGCGUGGGGAGCGAACAGGAUUAGAUACCCUGGUAGUCCACGCCGUAAACGAUGAGUUCUAAGUGUUGGGGUUUCCGCCCUUAGUGCCUUAACGCAUUAAGCACUCCGCCUGGGGAGUACGGUCGCAAGACUGAAACUCAAAGGAAUUGACGGGGCCCGCACAAGCGGUGGAGCAUGGUUUAAUUNNACAACGCAAGAAGUACCAGGUCUUGACAUCCUCUGACAAUCUGAAUGGACGUCCCUUCAGGGCAGAGGACAGGUGGUGCAUGGUUGUCGUCAGCUCGUGUCGUGAGAUGUUGGUUAAGUCCCAGCGAGCGCAACCCUUGAUCUUAGUUGCCAGCAUUCAGUUGGCACUCUAAGGUGACUGCCGGUGACAAACCGGAGGAAGGUGGGGAUGACGUCAAAUCAUCAUGCCCUUAUGACCUGGGCUACACGUGCUACAAUGGACAGAACAAAGGGCAGCGAAACCGCGAGGUUAAGCCUAUCCCACAAAUCUGUUCUCAGUUCGGAUCGCAGUCUGCAAACUCGACUGCGUGAAGCUGGAAUCGCUAGUAAUCGCGGAUCAGCAUGCCGCGGUGAAUACGUUCCGGGCCUUUACACACCGCCCGUCACACCACGAGAGUUUGUAACACCCGAAGUCGGUGAGGUAACCUUUUGAGCCAGCCGCCGAAGGUGGGACAGAUGAUUGGGGUGAAGUCGAAACAAGGUAGCCGUAUCGGAAGGUGCGGCUG